CAUUGAGAGAGUUCUAGAAAAUUGGAGACGAUGGCUAUUAUAGAGUGAGAGAGUGGCCCAAAAUGAAGAUUUUAGCUGCCGCUGCCGCUGCCACUACAUCCAGCGGGAUUCAAAGCACACCAACACUGAAGGAAGUUGUAUUUGAUAACUUGGAGAAAAUACCGCUACAGUGAAUGGACUUGAAUCAGUUUGUGCAAAUUCAUUUGAAGUGGACUGAAGGUAUAAAAUUUUCAAGAAUUCCAUAGAAAUUCAGUUUGUCAAUCAAUAAGUGUAUGGAAGUCUUGCGUUGAGCGAUGAUUACCUGCCGGAUGAGGAAUCCAAGUCCUGCUUGUUGCUUUGUGUUUUGUUUCCUGAGGAGGCUAACGUCUCAGUAGAAAUUUUGGUUCGAUUUGACUCUGAGAAGUUGGAGGAACAUCUUUCACAUAUCUAUAGUUUCUGUACCGGGAGAUCUACUUUGAAGACUUCUACUUCUGCCGCUCCCUCCAGGGUCUUCUUCUGAUUAUGCAAACGCACUUCAAUGUCAAUUAAGUAUUGCUAGCAGUGAAGAAGGCCGAGAUUGUACAGGGGUGUGCUCGUUGUCCUUAGUGUUUCUGAACAGCAGCCUCACUUUGCACUAUUUGGAUGCUAAUUUAAAUAAAGUUCAUGUUUACAUUUUAGUUUGGCUUUGAAUUAGUCAUCUGAAUUUGACAUUUUGAUAUACUUGAUUGUAUUGUAGAUUUUCAUAAUACCUCGUGGUCUAUAGAAGAAAGUCUUUUCAACUCUAAUGCUCCUAUUCCAAUCAAUUAAAUUACUUAGCGGGAUAGAGUUAGCAAAAA